UACAGAGGUGGUAAGCGUUGUUCGGAAUUACUGGGCGUAAAGGGCGCGUAGGCGGUCUUGUAAGUCUCGUGUGAAAUCCCUCGGCUUAACUGAGGAACUGCACGGGAUACUGCAUGACUUGAGAUCGGGAGAGGGAAGCGGAAUUCCGGGUGUAGCGGUGAAAUGCGUAGAUAUCCGGAGGAACACCGGUGGCGAAGGCGGCUUCCUGGACCGACACUGACGCUGAGGCGCGAAAGCUAGGGGAGCAAACGGG
rnacentral:rRNA from 1 species